AUUGCAAGAAUUAGGAGCUUAUGUCAGUGAAGAACUUCCUGAUUACAUUAUGGUGAUGGUGGCCAACAAGAAAAGUCAGGACCAAAUGACAGAGAACCUGUCCCUGUAUCUAGGAAACAACACAAUUCGAUUCACCGUAUGGCUUCACGGUGUGUUAGAUAAACUUCAUUCUGUAACAACCGACCCCUCUAGUCUGAAGUCUUCUGAUACCAACCUCUUUGAUGGUGACGUACCUUCAAACAAGAGCAGUUUCAGUCGAGGAGAUGAGAGAAGGCAUGAAGCUGCAGUGCCACCUCUUGCAGUUUCUAGCACUAGACCUGAAAAAAGAGAAUCUAGAGUUUCUACAAGUUCACAGGAGCAGAAAGCCACUAAUGUCAGAGAGACUUACGAUGAUGGAGCUGCAACCCGAAUAAUGUCCACAGUGAAACCUUUGAGGGAGCUAGCACCCUCUGAAGAUAUGAUUGAUAAUAAGCCAGAACCAGACGAUCUCAUUGAUGAAGCCCUCAAUUUUGUGCAGGAGAAUCCCUUAUCUCAGAAAAAAACUACAGUGACACUUACAUACAGUUCUUCUCGCCCUUCUAUUGAAAUUUAUCCACUACCUGCAAGUCGAAACGCAGACAGUGGUGCUCAUUUAAACAGGUUGCAGUUUCAACAGCAGCAAAACAAUAUUCAUGCUGCCAAACAGCUUGAUGUUGAGAGCAGCCGGGUGUAUGAGACAGGACGUCUGUGUGAACCAGAAGUGCUUCACAGCUUAGAAGAGACUUACAGUCCCUUCUUCAGAAGCAACUCAGCAAAGAUGAGUAUUGAGGAAGAAAACUUUCAGAAGAGAAAGUUGCCUGUGGUAAGUUCAGUUGUUAAGUAAAAAAGUUCAGUCACGAUGGAGAAGAGGAGGAGGCAGACAAUGACUGUGGGUCCCUACAGGAAGCCUCUCCAGCAGUAUGUCAGUGCCCGCGAAGCCUGAAUGGAGACCUUCACUUCCACCUUCGAAACAAGCUAACAGAAUCUAACUUUGAAGGCUAUUUCUGAAGCUCAAGAGUCUGUAACAAAAACAACUAACUAUUCUACAGUCUCACAGAAACAGACACUUCCAGUUGCUCCCAGAACUCGAACUUCUCAGGAAGAAUUGCUAGCAGAAAUGGUCCAGGGACAAGGCAGAGUCCCCGGGAUAAGUUCUCCCAUUGAAGAAGAGGAAGCAAAAGGAGAUAAUACAAACAAAGGUCAAGGAACUCAACAGAGGCAGUUGUUAUCCCGAUUGCAAAUCGACCCCAUAGUGGCAGAAACGCUGCAGACAGUCAAGCUGAGAUGAGUGGACUGAGCGUGGCACAGAAGCCAGAGAAGUGCGGGAGCGCUUCGAGUCCUGGCCUGCCUGUGAGAACGGGGACGCGUGCGCUCACCAUCACCCCGUGUCGCCUCGCAGAGCCUUUCCCAAUUGUAAAUUUGCUGAGAAGUGUCUGUUCAUCCAGAUUGUAAAUAUGAUGCAAAAUGUACUAAACCAGACUGUCCCUUCACUCACAGGAGCCGAAGAACCCCAGGACUGCCUCCAAAACCAGUCACAGCACCAGCACUGCCUUCCAGUAGUCAGCUGUGCCGCUACUUCCCAGCUUGUAAGAAAAUGGAGUGUCCCUUCUGUCAUCCGAAACACUGUAGGUUUAACACGCAGUGUACGCGACCUGACUGUACGUUUUAUCACCCCACCAUUACUGUGCCACCGCGACAUGCCUUGAAAUGGAUUCGACCUCAGACCAGUGAAUGACACCCAGUCCUACCUGACGGAAGACUGUGGCGUUUGAAAGUUUCCAUCUACUGAUGAAAGACAUUCUGCAGAAUUUGUCAAAUCUUUGAAACUUGGAAUAUAUUGCUUUCAUAAUAUGAAGUUUAUUGCCUA